AACAAGACACAUAGCCACUUUAGUUGAAAAAAAUGGCAACUCAUCGAGUACUCAAUCAGAAUGAUCGGUUUGCAGAAGAUUUUCGCAAGCUAGAUGAAAAAUAUCCCAGGCCACAGCCGGGCAGAUGGGUCGGGGUGGGGAGGGCUCCUUCUCAAUAUCCUUACGAUCAGAUUCCCUACCAACAGCCCAGGAAGGUGUACGGAAACCAGGUAAUUUAUUAUCCGAGAGACCGUUAUGUUAUCACUAGCGCUGAGGCAGCUCAGAUGUAUGGCGGGAUUGAGUUAAAAGGUUUGUCCAAGUAAAAACUAAUCAAAAACCACGCACCUCAGCUAUGUCUAUUAUAUGAUCAUAUGUUCCACUUGUAAUAUUGUAUGGCAAGUAUCUGUAAUAUGGUAGUAUUUGCUCCUUGUAUAAAUAAUAAAUAAAUAAAUAAUCAUAGUUUUAAUAGUAUUGGGGUUGUAUUUUUACAUAUAGCAAAGUGGAAUUUACACCCUUUCCUAUGAUCAGUACCUAAUUUUUUCUGGUGCAUGCAGCAAUUCUUUUACAUUAACAAAGUCCAAUUAGGUUCAGGGCCUUUGAUCCAAUGUUGGUAUGAU
rnacentral:lncRNA from 1 species